GGCAGGAGCACCAGGAGGGAGGGGUUGGGUUAGGUGGGGUUAGGGAAGGGACGGUUAAGUUGGGUUAGGUUUGGUUAGGUUAGGUUAGAUUAGGUUCGUUAAGGUUAGGUUAGUUUAGGUUAGGUUGGAUUAGGUUCGGUAAGGUUAGGUUCGGUAAGGUUAGGUUCAGUAAGGUUAGGUUCGGUAAGGUUAGGUUAGGCUAGAUUAGGUUUGAGUUAGGUUAGUUUAGGUUAGGUUCGGUAAGGUUAGGUUAGGUUCAGUAAGGUUAGGUUAGGUUAGGCUAGAUUAGGUUUGAGUUAGGUUAGUUUAGGUUAGGUUCGGUAAGGUUAGGUUAGGCUAGGGGACGUUGUGUAGGGGGUAGGUUAGGUUAAGUUAGGGAAGGUAAGUUUGUGGAACAUCAUGUUAGGCUAGGUUGUGCUGGAUUAGGUUAGGUUAGGUAAGGUUAGUUAAGUGAGAAUCUUUGGGUUAUUUACGCAAACCCAUGCACGUGACUGUUGACAGGCGCUGCUGGGGACAUGUCGCGAGGCAGUCACACCAAGGAAUUAAUGUAAAUAAUAUG